GACGAACGCUGGCGGCGCGCCUAACACAUGCAAGUCGAACGAGCGAGAGAGAGUUUACUUUUUCGAGCGAGUGGCGAACGGGUGAGUAACGCGUGAGGAACCUGCCUCAAAGAGGGGGGACAACAGUUGGAAACGACUGCUAAUACCGCAUAAGCCCACGACCCGGCAUCGGGUAGAGGGAAAAGGAGCAAUCCGCUUUGAGAUGGCCUCGCGUCCGAUUAGCUAGUUGGUGAGGUAAUGGCCCACCAAGGCGACGAUCGGUAGCCGGACUGAGAGGUUGAACGGCCACAUUGGGACUGAGACACGGCCCAGACUCCUACGGGAGGCAGCAGUGGGGAAUAUUGCACAAUGGGGGAAACCCUGAUGCAGCGACGCCGCGUGGAGGAAGAAGGUCUUCGGAUUGUAAACUCCUGUUGUUGAGGAAGAUAAUGACGGUACUCAACAAGGAAGUGACGGCUAACUACGUGCCAGCAGCCGCGGUAAAACGUAGGUCACAAGCGUUGUCCGGAAUUACUGGGUGUAAAGGGAGCGCAGGCGGGAGGACAAGUUGGAAGUGAAAUCCAUGGGCUCCACCCCAUGAACUGCUUUCAAAACUUUUUUUCUUGAGUAGUGCAGAGGUAGGCGGAAUUCCCGGUGUAGCGGUGGAAUGCGUAGAUAUCGGGAGGAACACCAGUGGCGAAGGCGGCCUACUGGGCACCAACUGACGCUGAGGCUCGAAAGUGUGGGUAGCAAACAGGAUUAGAUACCCCGGUAGUCCACACUCUAAACGAAGAUUACUAGGUGUUGGAGGAUUGACCCCUUCAGUGCCGCAGUUAACACAAUAAGUAAUCCACCUGGGGAGUGCGACCGCAAGGUUGAAACUCAAAGGAAUUGACGGGGGCCCGCACAAGCAGUGGAGUAUGUGGUUUAAUUUGACGCAACGCGAAGAACCUUACCAAGUCUUGACAUCCUGCGACGGGGCUGGAAACAGUGCUUUCCUUCGGGACGCAGAGACAGGUGGUGCAUGGUUGUCGUCAGCUCGUGUCGUGAGAUGUUGGGUUAAGUCCCGCAACGAGCGCAACCCUUAUGGUCAGUUAUUACGCAAGAGGACUCUGGCCAGACUGCCGUUGACAAAACGGAGGAAGGUGGGGAUGACGUCAAAUCAUCAUGCCCCCUAUGACUUGGGCUACACACGUACUACAAUGGCGUUAAACAAAGAGAAGCAAGACCGCGAGGUGGAGCAAAACUCAGAAACAACGUCCCAGUUCGGACUGCAGGCUGCAACUCGCCUGCACGAAGUCGGAAUUGCUAGUAAUCGCAGAUCAGCAUGCUGCGGUGAAUAAAAGGCCGGGCCUUGCACA
rnacentral:rRNA from 1 species